rnacentral:rRNA from 1 species
CUUGACUGUAGCUUGGAAUUGGGUUCGGGCUCUUCUUGCGCAGCCUAGGUGGGAGGCGUUGAAAGUUUUCUUUCGGGAAAACUGGAGCCAACAGUGAGAGACCACUCUGGAGGAGCUAGAAUUCUAAUGGCGUUCCUUGAAGCAGGACGCUUGACAGUUUCAGGUGGGCAGUUUGACUGGGGCGGUCACCUCCUAAAAGGUAACGGAGGUGUGCAAAGGUUCCCUCAGGCUGGACGGAAAUCAGCCGUAGAGUGUAAAGGCAGAAGGGGGCUUGACUGCAAGACCUACAAGUCGAGCAGGGGCGAAAGCCGGCCUUAGUGAUCCGACGGUUCCAUGUGGAAGGGCCGUCGCUCAACGGAUAAAAGUUA